rnacentral:tRNA from 1 species
GCCUCCAUAGCUCAAUUUGGUAGAGUACCAUCCUCGUAAGAUGGGAGUUCUGGGUUCAAGUCCCAGUGGAGGCU